GAGUUUGAUCCUGGCUCAGGACGAACGCUGGCGGCGUGCUUAACACAUGCAAGUCGAACGGUGAUGUCAGAGCUUGCUCUGGCGGAUCAGUGGCGAACGGGUGAGUAACACGUGAGUAACCUGCCCCCGACUCUGGGAUAACUGCUAGAAAUGGUAGCUAAUACCGGAUAUGACGAUUGGCCGCAUGGUCUGGUCGUGGAAAGAAUUUCGGUUGGGGAUGGACUCGCGGCCUAUCAGGUUGUUGGUGAGGUAAUGGCUCACCAAGCCUACGACGGGUAGCCGGCCUGAGAGGGUGACCGGCCACACUGGGACUGAGACACGGCCCAGACUCCUACGGGAGGCAGCAGUGGGGAAUAUUGCACAAUGGGCGAAAGCCUGAUGCAGCAACGCCGCGUGAGGGAUGACGGCCUUCGGGUUGUAAACCUCUUUUAGUAGGGAAGAAGCGAAAGUGA
rnacentral:rRNA from 1 species